rnacentral:rRNA from 1 species
AUUGAACGCUGGCGGCAGGCCUAACACAUGCAAGUCGAGCGGAUGACGGGAGCUUGCUCCUUGAUUCAGCGGCGGACGGGUGGGUAAUGCCUAGGAAUCUGCCUGGUAGUGGGGGACAACGUUUCGAAAGGAACGCUAAUACCGCAUACGUCCUACGGGAGAAAGCAGGGGACCUUCGGGCCUUGCGCUAUCAGAUGAGCCUAGGUCGGAUUAGCUAGUUGGUGGGGUAAUGGCUCACCAAGGCGACGAUCCGUAGCUGGUCUGAGAGGAUGAUCAGUCACACUGGAACUGAGACACGGUCCAGACUCCUACGGGAGGCAGCAGUGGGGAAUAUUGGACAAUGGGCGAAAGCCUGAUCCAGCCAUGCCGCGUGUGUGAAGAAGGUCUUCGGAUUGUAAAGCACUUUAAGUUGGGAGGAGGGGCAGUAAGCUAAUACCUUGCUGUUUUGACGUUACCGACAGAAUAAGCACCGGCUAACUCUGUGCCAGCAGCCGCAGUAAAAC